rnacentral:rRNA from 1 species
GACGAACGCUGGCGGCGUGCUUAACACAUGCAAGUCGAACGGAGAUAUAUAAAUAGUUUACUAUGAAUAUAUUUUAGUGGCGGACGGGUGAGUAACACGUGGGCAACCUGCCUUAGAGUGGGGGAUAACAACGAGAAAUCGUUGCUAAUACCGCAUGAAAUUAGAUUAUCGCAUGAUAGUUUAAUGAAAGGAGAAAUCCGCUAAAAGAUGGGCCCGCGCCUGAUUAGCUAGUUGGUGAGGUAAAAGCUCACCAAGGCGACGAUCAGUAGCCGAUCUGAGAGGAUGACCGGCCACACUGGAACUGAGACACGGUCCAGACUCCUACGGGAGGCAGCAGUGGGGAAUAUUGUACAAUGGGGGAAACCCUGAUGCAGCAACGCCGCGUGGAGGAAGAAGGUUUUCGGAUUGUAAACUCCUGUCUUUUGGGACGAUAAUGACGGUACCAAAAGAGGAAGCCACGGCUAACUACGUG